rnacentral:tRNA from 1 species
GGGCCAUAGCUCAGUGGAAGAACAGCUGCUUUGCGUGCAGAAGGUCCCAGGUUCAAUCCCCGCUGGCAUCU